rnacentral:piRNA from 1 species
UGUAUAUGGAGAUGUAAUGCAUGC